CCUCGUGCGGCGUCAUCCAGUGAAUCCCCCAGGACCGGAAGGUAGCAAGGGUAAGCAGGCUCUGGCGGGUGCGCGAGGGG
rnacentral:SRP_RNA from 2 species